AGAAAGGCCAUCCUUAACACAAACUACCUACUAUUGACAACAACAAUAUACUCCCCAAAAUGAAAGCAUUAUUAGUGAUGGUAUGCAUUCUCCUGGCUUCCACUCUCUUUAUCCCUACUUCGACUAUGGCUCGACAACUGGGGACGAUCGGCCAGAUUGAUGCACCAGUGUUUACCACUCCUACUUGUGGCCGUGGAAAGCCUUAUAAGAACUGCAUACCAGUUACAAAUCCUCCUAAGACCCUACCCUGUCCCAUUUAUAAAAGCGGUCGCGGCUGCCAGGAGUUGCCAACUAAACCUUGAAUGUAAUGGGCAAGCUAUAGGAUCCAUUGGCGAAAUUGUAAUGCGAAUAUAUAAAAACCAGAUCAUGAAGUUGCAUUACCUGCCCAUGAUUUGUGUUUUUUUCAAGACUAUUAUGUAGUUUGUUUCAUAAUAUGUAGUGUGUCUGCAAUAACGAGUUACUAUGAGCUCAUCAACAUUGGCUUCUCAAGGCUUUCAAGUACUCUCCCAUGUAUCUAAAUCAAAGUCUUCCUCUGGAAGAGUUUCUUUUGAUAAUUCAAGCUACCUCCAAACUGCUUGUACGUUCAUGUGAUGCUUGAUUUUGGAGUUACUUUAUUAUAAAUUUCAACCUUCCUUUCUAGUA